GACGAACGCUGGCGGCGUGCUUAACACAUGCAAGUCGAGCGGAGCGGCGAACGGGUGAGUAACGCGUGAGUACCUGCCCCCCUCUCUGGGCUAACAGUUGGAACCGGCUGCUAAUACCGGAUAGUGGGGGAUGACUCGCGUCCUAUCAGCUUGUUGGUGGGGUAGUGGCCUACCAAGGCGAAGACGGGUAGCCGGCCUGAGAUGGGGACCGGCCACAUUGGGCUGAGAUACGGGCCAAACGCCUACGGGGUGAAGCAGUGGGGAAUAUUGCCAAAUGGGGGAAACCCUGAUGCAGAAACGCCGCGGGCGGGAUGAAGGCCUUCGGGGUGUAAACCGCUUUCAGCCAUGACGCGGUAGUGGCAGAAGAAGCACCGGCUAACUACGUGCCAGCAGCCGCGGUAAUUC
rnacentral:rRNA from 1 species